UACGUAGGGUCCGAGCGUUGUCCGGAAUUAUUGGGCGUAAAGGGGUCGUAGGCGGUUCGUCACGUCGGGAGUGAAAACUCGGAGCUUAACUCCGAGCCUGAUUCCGAUACGGGCAGACUAGAGGUAGGCAGGGGAGAGCGGAACUCCUGGUGUAGCGGUGGAAUGCGCAGAUAUCAGGAAGAACACCAACGGCGAAGGCAGCUCGCUAGGACGGAACUGACGCUGAGGCGCGAAAGCGUGGGGAGCAAACAGG
rnacentral:rRNA from 1 species